UAGGGAAUCUUCGGCAAUGGGGGGAACCCUGACCGAGCAACGCCGCGUGAGUGAAGAAGGUUUUCGGAUCGUAAAGCUCUGUUGUUAAGGAAGAACGAGUGUGAGAAUGGAAAGUUCAUGCUGUGACGGUACUUAACCAGAAAGGGACGGCUAACUACGUGCCAGCAGCCGCGGUAAUACGUAGGGCGCAAGCGUUAUCCGGAAUUAUUGGGCGUAAAGAGCUUGUAGGCGGUUCGUCGCGUCUGGUGUGAAAGCCCAUCGCUUAACGGUGGGUUUGCGCCGGGUACGGGCGGGCUAGAGUGCAGUAGGGGAGACUGGAAUUCCCGGUGUAACGGUGGAAUGUGUAGAUAUCGGGAAGAACACCAAUGGCGAAGGCAGGUCUCUGGGCUGUUACUGACGCUGAGAAGCGAAAGCGUGGGGAGCGAACAGG
rnacentral:rRNA from 2 species